UUUCUAAACCACACACACACAAAAGUACCACUUUUCUCUCUCUCCUUCUCGUGCUCUCUCUCUCUCUCUCUCUCUCUCUCUCUCAGACGCACACUCUCUCUCUCUUUCCCUUCUUCGUACGGACAAACUUCGAACUCCCCAUUUCAGGCACGGAUCGAAGCUUUAAAGAGAAUUUUAAGGACAUAGAAGGCUUAAGGAGGUCCUCACGAGUCUCAGGGUACUUCGUUGGACGGAUUUGGACGUCGGAAGGCUGAGAUCGACGUUUAUCUAGGCGAGACCUAUCCAGAGGACGAGCGUAGCCAGGCUAUGCAUAGGGGUUACGAUCCAGCUGCAUAUCUGUCUUAGGUAGCAGAGUUCGGUGGCCACGAGGAAUCCAAU